CGAAGCUUUGCUUUGUAUCUUUACCUUCAUGUUAGGUUAAAAGCAUCAACUCUGAUUUGAACUCUCUGAGGGCUGCAAUUGAUUGAACAAAGAGCGACCUGACCGCAAAAUUGGAUGGGACUGUAUCAACGAUUGAAAACUUCAAGUCUGAUUUGAACGAUAUGAAGGCUGCAGUAGAUGGAACAAAGAACAACUUUACCGAUUUGAACGGUACUGUAACAAAGGAGACUGGAGACAAGCAACUGGCAAUUAAGGGCUCAUGCGCCUCUAACGCCUUUACGCUCAUGCUAAAAGUCAAGUUUAUAUCAUCCUGAAAGCUCAACAAAGCUUUUCAAAGUAACUUAUGCGAGUCGUGCCAGAAUGUGACCAGGAACUCAGCCUACGAGGAAUGCAAAUCUAAAUGUUGCUGUGGAGCAAAUUCUUCCGAAGACGUAAAAACACCUAAGUGUUCUUCUAAAUCAAAACUGGUCUUGGGUUGAUUGUACUAAGGAAUUUGCAUGUACAGCGAUGCUCAAAAAAGUUUUUGCUUAGCAAGCAAGAUGUGUAGCUAGUAGGGACCGGUCAUAUUUAUCUCCUUCGGGGGAGGGGAGGGAGGUGGAAGGGUUUUGGUUAUGACAUGAUGAUUUUUAUUUGAGCACCUCCCCCCCUCCCGCGGUGAAGUGUGUUCUUGAGCCUAUUUGCCAUGAUGAUUUUUAUUUGAUUCGAUGGGUGAAUUUUUAUUUGACCAUCAGCUGGAGCUUAUACUGGUUUCCAUGUUGUAUGAAGUGAAGAGGGGUAUAAGCACU